GAUGAAGAACGCAGCGAAAUGCGAUAAGUAAUGUGAAUUGCAGAAUUCAGUGAAUCAUCGAAUCUUUGAACGCACAUUGCGCCCGCCAGUAUUCUGGCGGGCAUGCCUGUUCGAGCGUCAUUACAACCCUCAGGCCCCCGGGCCUGGCGUUGGGGAUCGGCGGAAGCCCCCUGCGGGCACAACGCCGUCCCCCAAAUACAGUGGCGGUCCCGCCGCAGCUUCCAUUGCGUAGUAGCUAACACCUCGCAACUGGAGAGCGGCGCGGCCACGCCGUAAAACACCCAACUUCUGAAUGUUGACCUCGAAUCAGGUAGGAAUACCCGCUGAACUUAAGCAUAUCAAUAAGCGGAG
rnacentral:misc_RNA from 1 species